AGCGUUAUUCGGAUUCACUGGGCGUAAAGGGUGCGCAGGCGGUUGGGUGUGUCAGAUGUGAAAUCCCGAGGCUCAACCUCGGAACUGCGUCUGAAACUACUCGACUAGAGUACUGGAGAGGGUAACGGAAUUCACGGUGUAGCAGUGAAAUGCGUAGAUAUCGUGAGGAACACCAGAGGCGAAGGCGGUUACCUGGACAGUUACUGACGCUCAGGCACGAAAGCAUGGGGAGCAAAAGGG
rnacentral:rRNA from 1 species